rnacentral:rRNA from 1 species
UACGGAGGGUGCGAGCGUUGUCCGGAAUCAUUGGGCGUAAAGCGUGCGUAGGUGGUCUUUUAAGUCCGUUGUGAAAGCCCUGGGCUCAACCUGGGAAUGGCAGUGGAUACUGGAAGGCUGGAGUACGGUAGAGGAGGGUGGAAUUCCUGGUGUAGCGGUGAAAUGCGCAGAUAUCAGGAGGAACACCGGUGGCGAAGGCGGGUCUCUGGGCCGAUACUGACGCUGAGGAGCGAAAGCGUGGGGAGCGAACAGG